rnacentral:rRNA from 1 species
CGGGUGAGUAACACGUGGAUAACCUACCUAUAAGACUGGGAUAACUUCGGGAAACCGGAGCUAAUACCGGAUAAUAUUUUGAACCGCAUGGUUCAAAAGUGAAAGACGGUCUUGCUGUCACUUAUAGAUGGAUCCGCGCUGCAUUAGCUAGUUGGUAAGGUAACGGCUUACCAAGGCAACGAUGCAUAGCCGACCUGAGAGGGUGAUCGGCCACACUGGAACUGAGACACGGUCCAGACUCCUACGGGAGGCAGCAGGC